ensembl:lncRNA LINC01990 long intergenic non-protein coding RNA 1990
ACAUUUGUCUUGGCGCUCUGGGGAAGAAGAAAACAAACUCAAAGAAGCAAUUUUUCUGGAAACACACAAUUGCAGAAAGAGAUUCAGAGAGGCUGUUCCUGGUUUCUUGGCUAAGGUCCUUUCUACUAUCCAGACUACAUUGGCUCAGUCCAGGAGGAGUCAAAGAAGGCUGGAGUGCAAUGGCGCGAUCUUGGCUCACUGCAACCUCCGCCUUCCUGGUUCAAGUGAUUCUCCUGCCUCAGCCUCCUGAGUAGCUGGGAUAACAGACAUGCAUCACCACGACCAGAUAAGGACACUGCAGCCCAGAGAAGAAACCUGCAAAGGCCGUGUUCACACACUCACAAGAGAUAUGGCUGUGAUUUGGAUCCAGAUGUGAUGGGCUGACAACAAAACUCCUGUGAUACCAUGAAGUCUUCGGGAGGCAGAAUUGAAGUGAACAUGAAGUUUAGCUUAGAGAAGAAAAGAAUAAAUACAUACAAAACAUUUGAUGGUGAAUAAACAGAAAAUGGUGUAUUCAACAGAAUUUGACUCAGCAAUAAAAAUGAACCAAACUAUGGAAAACAACACCCAACAACAGGAAGAAAUCUCAAAAUAAUUAUGGUGAGUGAAAGAGGCCAGACCAAAAAAAAAAAAAAAAAAAGACUAGAAAA